rnacentral:rRNA from 1 species
GAUGAACGCUGGCGGCGUGCCUAAUACAUGCAAGUCGAGCGAACAGACGAGGAGCUUGCUCCUCUGACGUUAGCGGCGGACGGGUGAGUAACACGUGGAUAACCUACCUAUAAGACUGGGAUAACUUCGGGAAACCGGAGCUAAUACCGGAUAACAUGUUGAACCGCAUGGUUCAACAGUGAAAGACGGUCUUGCUGUCACUUAUAGAUGGAUCCGCGCCGCAUUAGCUAGUUGGUAAGGUAACGGCUUACCAAGGCAACGAUGCGUAGCCGACCUGAGAGGGUGAUCGGCCACACUGGAACUGAGACACGGUCCAGACUCCUACGGGAGGCAGCAGUAGGGAAUCUUCCGCAAUGGGCGAAAGCCUGACGGAGCAACGCCGCGUGAGUGAAGAAGGUCUUCGGUUCGUAAAACUCUGUUAUUAGGGAAGAACAAAUGUGUAAGUAACUAUGCACGUCUUGACGGUACCUAAUCAGAAAGCCACGGCUAACUACGUG